GUGCCAGCCGCCGCGGUAAUACCGGCAGCCCGAGUGAUGGCCGAUCUUAUUGGGCCUAAAGCGUCCGUAGCUGGCUGCGCAAGUCCGUCGGGAAAUCCACUCGCCCAACGAGUGGGCGUCCGACGGAAACUGCACAGCUUGGGACCGGAAGGCUCGAAGGGUACGUUCGGGGUAGGAGUGAAAUCCCGUAAUCCUGGACGGACCGCCGAUGGCGAAAGCACGUCGCGAAGACGGAUCCGACAGUGAGGGACGAAAGCUAGGGUCUCGAACCGGAUUAGAUACCCGAGUAGUCC
rnacentral:rRNA from 1 species